CACGGCCUAAAGGUUCCUCUCUCUUCUUCUAUUCUAGGAGAUUCGUCGUUAAAGAUCGUGCGUGCACAGUGCACGCGUAACGCAGCCUCCGUCACAGAUUAUCUGGCACGAAUCGAUCAAGAUCAGUUACGUUGCAACUCUACGUCGCUCGAUUUUACAACAAGAAGGAAGGAUUAACGCGAGCAAAGUGGGCGAAUUAAAUCUUUGAAUAGUGGAUAAAAUAAUUUGAACACGAUGCAAAGACAAGAUUGGGGAAAACUUCGUUUACGUGUCCUACAAAGCGAGAAAUUGAAGCCAAGUCAAGAUACUUGUAUCAAUUUCAUUUAAUUAGCUGGCUCGAUCAUCGUCUCCACGUCAACUCGUAUCGUGUGAACGAAAAAUUACAGAUACACAAGGAAUUUAAUAAAUAAUAUCAGCAACACAGUGUCGUACGUACAGUGGCCAUAUGAGUGCAUACACACGUACAUAUUUAGAAUUGUGAGAUAGAACGUUACUUUCGUUAAGCAGACAAUCGUAGAGUUACAGGAAAGUUACAAAUAAAUAAUUUACCUUUAAACGAUGUCAAGAGAGAAAGAUUAAAUGUAAACGGAAUAUAAAGGAAUAUGUUUCAUCUAUUACGAAAGAGAGGAAUGGAGCGAGAUAGAAAAUAUUGGGUUAAUCGAAUUAAUCACGAAACACACUAUCACAAAAUGCAUAUUUCCAACGUUAUAUAGGUAAACCGACGAUAGUGUUAUCUAUAUUCGUCGGCAGAUAGAUAGAUCAGCGUAAAGAUUUCAUUUACGACAACACGCGCACGGUAAAUUAGGCCUGUUAGACAGACACAACGAUCUCGGCUAUCUUAAUGCAAUAAACUCGAGCAACGCGAUCUUCUGACCUUGAUUCAGCUGAACUACAAUUGGACUAGCCGCCUGUUCCUGGAAUGCGGAAUUAGACAGGGAAAUCAACAUGAGAACAAGAAACAAAGGCAAAAUUUUACGUUCCGAUCCGAUCAAUUCCAAAACCAACCACCAGACUCCGAUUCUUUUGUAUAAAUUCAUAAAUUUCUGAAUUAAAAAAUACAUUCCUGAAUUAUUCUCUGAAUUCGAGUGUAUCGCACGAUAAAUCGUACAUUAUAUUGCGUUCAUUGUGGAAAGAAAAAUUCAUCUCGAGAGAAAAAGCAAGAAAAAUGGUCAGUUAUUGCCGCGCCAUUGCUUUUUGUUACUAACAUUUCUAAAAUCCCCUCAUAAAUUCAAGAUUAAAAACUAUAUAUAUAUUCCAAGUCAUUGAACUCUUCUAUAAAUUCUACGAUUCUUCUUUUCCAUAAAUACGAUGAACCAGCCGACACGAACAGUAACAGAUUCUCACACCGUUAAAUUUCCCACAAAUUCUUCUACGCUGUUAUAUAACAUUUAGCGCGAUAUUUAACGAAACUCGAUCUAAGAAAAAUAUAUCCUACUCUUAUGCGUUAGAUCGAUCAAUCCGCGCUUUUACACGACGAAUUCCACGUACGAUGGCCAAUAUUGUUAAAUAUCUUGCGCACGUGCCUGUGAACAUUCGCAGCCAUUGUUCGUCACGCUGCUUGUCGAUAUUAUUGGAAAAGCGAGAAAAACGAGGAAGAAGGUAGCGCGAAAGUUUAUAAAAUCAGAGGGAACGUGGAUUUUAACCACGGUGAAUUUAAAGAAAGCGAUACAGCUGACUUCAAAGAAGCAUGAAUCUUUGGUACGAGGGUGCGUUAAUUAGAAGAAGCAAUGAAUCGUCGGACGCGGAAAAAAUGGAAGAGGCACCAGAGGGAGGGUCGGAAGAUAGUAAAGAGAAGGAAAGAAAAAGAAAAAAAAGAGAAAGAAAGAGCCGGAGAGACAAGGGACCGGGCAGAAUCUGGGAAUGUCGAAAUUUUUGGCGCGUUGCCAACGCGCGGUUAUCUUAUUAUGAUCAAGCGGAAUUAACGAGCUAUUUAUCGAGAUUACACACAGCGAUAUGCAACAUUAUAAUCUAAAAUAAACCACCGGUCGGUUCCGCGGCUUUAUCAACGCUUUUAAAGCGGCAUUCGCCAAAUACAGAUAUCCCGAUGUUAUUGCAAACAACGGCGACGCGACGCCUAUAAAACACCGCGACGCUUCCCCAAAAAGCGGAUCUUUCUUUGUACUUGGUCCGUGUGUAUUCGUGAAUUUCGACGUUAAUGAGUGCUCGGUCUCGUUGACACGAUCAUUGAUUAGAUUUGUUUGUUCAUUGACUCGAAACGAUCUCAAUACGUUUAUUGUCAUUGCGUAUCUUCGGUUGAGAUUCUCAGUAUAUUAGAACGCGUCAUUCUCUUUUAGAUUAAGACGAUUUUGUACACAAUGGAAUUUAAUCGCUCAGUGGGAUAUGUACGUACGUACGUAUGUGUACAAAUAGUUGUAACGAGGAAUCGUUAGAUAUUUACAAGUAGAGCGAAAAUAUGUAAACAUGGAAAAAUUAUGAAUGUACAGGAAUGUUGAAAAUACUUCAAGUAAAGUAAUAUCGUAAUACUCUGGGAGUGAAAUCUCUAUUUAGGUACAAUUUCGUUUGUAUCGUUAUGUACAUGUUUUUGCCUACAAUAAUAGCAAGCUGUAAUUUUACGUUCUACAAGAAUUACAGUUUAUUCUAAAUUGUUACUAUACCGAAUUGUAGCUAAUUAUCUAUCGAAAAGUUGUCAAGGUUGCUCUAAAAUCUGUAAUACAGAGCGAAGAUGUGUAUGAUGCAACGAUGACAUGAAAAUUCUCGAUGCACAAUAUACGUACACGUAUGUAGGUCUUCCACGAUUCAACAAUCUCAACACAAUGGUUACAGAAAAUCUCCUAAGUUCUCGAUACUCCUAUUAAGAAAUAAUUUACGGUAGAAUAAUUCCCAAGAUUCCUAUUAAAAACUAUCUGCCAAAAACAACGGUAAU